AUGUUUGUCACAAAAUACCUCAGAGAGCUGGCUGAUUGCAAAUCAAAGGAGACGACCCGUCCGGCACAAGCUGUUCCCAGCAACCGGACAAGAUGGAUCCGACCUCCUCAUGGUUAUGCAAAAAUCAGGGUGGAUGGUGUUGUCAACAGAGCCAACGACGAGGGCUCCUACAACGCUAUAUGCAGAGACCAGAGCGGGAAGUACAUGGGGUCAUCGGCUAUCAGGAGUGUUGGGGUUACCGAUCCAACAACAUUGGAGACUCUGGCGUGUCGAGAAGCAAUGGCCCUUGCUUUGGACCUCUCAUUAACUCAUGUGGAGAUUGCUUCGGACUGUAAAAAUGUUGUUCAGGACAUAAACCUUGGCACUAGAGGAAUGAACACGAGCAUCGUGAAGGAGAUUAGAGCUACUGCUACUCAAUUUCAUAGUUGUGUCUUCGUCUUUGAAGGCAGAGUUUCGAAUCAGGAGGCCCAUAGCCUUGCUAAGCAUGCUUUUGGUCUGGACCCGGGGCGUCAUGUGUGGCUCAUAAACCCCCGAGACCUGAAUUGUAUCCCUAUGAACAUCAUUAAUUAA
rnacentral:rRNA from 1 species